rnacentral:rRNA from 1 species
UUAAAUUGAAGAGUUUGAUCAUGGCUCAGAUUGAACGCUGGCGGCAGGCCUAACACAUGCAAGUCGGACGGUAGCACAGAGGAGCUUGCUCCUCGGGUGACGAGUGGCGGACGGGUGAGUAAUGUCUGGGGAUCUGCCCGAUAGAGGGGGAUAACCACUGGAAACGGUGGCUAAUACCGCAUAACGUCGCAAGACCAAAGAGGGGGACCUUCGGGCCU